GUCACGAUCUAGAUCACAUUCCCGAUCCAGGGGAAGGCGAUACUCUCGCUCACGUAGUAGGAGCCGCGGUAGGAGGUGAGAAAUUUGUAAAAUUCAAAAUUUAACAGGAGGAAAAAAUACGACAAGAUGGGCUUAAGAACUGCUUCUAAUUUUUAGGUCAAGAUCAGCAUCUCCUCGACGAUCAAGGUCCGUGUCUCUUCGUAGAUCAAGAUCAGCUUCACUCAGAAGAUCUAGGUCUGGUUCUAUAAUAGGAUCGAGGUAUUUCCAGUAUGUAGCACAUUUUUCCUGCUUACUAGUAGAUGGAUUGUCGUGUCUUUAGUAUCAAGGCAGGGUUUCUCUAUAGCCCUGGCUGUAGACCAGGCUGGCUUCGAACUCAAAUCCACUUGCCUCUGCCUCCUGAGCACUGGGAUUGAGCCGCCACCACUGGAUCCUGACUGGAUUGUCGUCAUGUCUUAAUGACACAGUGAAGUAUCUUAAUUCAAAUGGGGUGCCUCUGAUACUUGAGUAUGCACACUUGUACUCCUAGCACUUGGACUGAGACUGAAACCAGGAAGAUAAUUUGGACCUAGGGUUGGAGGACAGAAGAAGAGCAUAGUGAGGUACACAUCCCACCUCAGGACAGAUUUUAGUGAACAAUCUGGGCAGGCAUGAUGCUACCUUGGUGAAGAAGAUGGUGACAGAGCUUGCCUCCAAGCUUGAUAAAAGACUAGGAGGGAGACAGGAUCUGCCUGCCUCUUAAUAUGAGAUUAAAGGUGUAUGCCAUCGCAAUAGCUGAAUGGACUUUUUCUUUUUAGUUGUUUAAUGAGACAACAGUCCUUGCUCUGUAGACCAGGCUGGCCUAAAACUCAAAGGGACUCACCCGCUUCCACCUCCCAAGUUCUGGGAUUAAAGGAGUAUACCAUCGCCAUCUGGCCUGAAUAGGGGGUUAACCUUACAUUUGGAUUCAAUGUAUUUAAGUCAACUUGAGUCCAUUGUAAGAAGUCCUUUAAAAGUUUUUGUUUUUUAUAAAUAAUUUGCACUACAGAUGAAAAGCAGUUGUGUAUGAAAGUCACUUUACUGCUGUUUAAAACUCAUAAAUCAAUUUGAGAAAGUUAUUGAACCCAUCUUUAGAUAGACUUAAUUAUAGGGUCCCAAGAUUUUCAAAAGAUAUGGUCAGCCUAACUUGGUUUGACAAACGGAGCAACUAUGAUAACAAGAAUAAAGUCAGCUCAGCAGUUGGAUGGAACCACUUGGUGAUUGUGGUUAUUAGUGUUAGAAAGUGGGACUGUUGUGUCUUUGUAGGCGUAGUGACCAUACUGUGUAUGGUGGAGGUAGGCAUCUGAAAUAGUGGUUCUUAGAUUGGAUCCAUGUGAGAGGCAAGACUUGUGCAGUAAUUGUUUCUACUCUUUCCUAUCCUAUCUACUCUCUGGGAAGGUGCUUAGUUAUAAAGGCAUUCUUGUAAUUGUGUCCCCUUUCCUUUUUAUUAAGAUCCCGCUCAAGGUCGAGAUCAAGAUCCAGGUCUAUUUCACGACCAAGAAGCAGCCGAUCAAAAUCCAGAUCUCCAUCUCCUAAAAGAAGUCGUUCCCCAUCAGGAAGUCCACACAGAAGUGCAAGUCCAGAAAGAAUGGACUGAAGUUCUCAAGUUCACCCGUUAGGGAAAAGUUAUUUUGUUUACAUUAUUAUAAGGGAUUUGUUAUGUCUGUAAAGUGUAACCUAGGAAGGUUCAUCAACCAUCUAAUCAAAAUGGAUCUGGAUUAUUACUCUGUAAAAUUCACAGCAGUAAAUAUUGUUUUUGUUGAAUGUAUUAACAUCUUAUGGUCUGGAAAUGUAGGUUUUUAUUUGACACAUUUAAAUAAAAUGUUUCUAACUAGAUGUUUUGAUUUGUGUUCAAUAUUAAUACUUUUUCAAUUGGGUAAGCA
rnacentral:lncRNA from 1 species